UGCAGUCGAGCGGAAGAUGGGAGCUUGCUCCCUGAUGUUAGCGGCGGACGGGUGAGUAACACGUGGGUAACCUGCCUGUAAGACUGGGAUAACUCCGGGAAACCGGGGCUAAUACCGGAUGCUUGUUUGAACCGCAUGGUUCAAACAUAAAAGGUGGCUUCGGCUACCACUUACAGAUGGACCCGCGGCGCAUUAGCUAGUUGGUGAGGUAAYGGCUCACCAAGGCAACGAUGCGUAGCCGACCUGAGAGGGUGAUCGGCCACACUGGGACUGAGACACGGCCCAGACUCCUACGGGAGGCAGCAGUAGGGAAUCUUCCGCAAUGGACGAAAGUCUGACGGAGCAACGCCGCGUGAGUGAUGAAGGUUUUCGGAUCGUAAAGCUCUGUUGUUAGGGAAGAACAAGUGCCGUUCAAAUAGGGCGGCACCUUGACGGUACCUAACCAGAAAGCCACGGCUAACUACGUGCCAGCAGCCGCGGUAAUACGUAGGUGGCAAGCGUUGUCCGGAAUUAUUGGGCGUAAAGGGCUCGCAGGCGGUUUCUUAAGUCUGAUGUGAAAGCCCCCGGCUCAACCGGGGAGGGUCAUUGGAAACUGGGGAACUUGAGUGCAGAAGAGGAGAGUGGAAUUCCACGUGUAGCGGUGAAAUGCGUAGAGAUGUGGAGGAACACCAGUGGCGAAGGCGACUCUCUGGUCUGUAACUGACGCUGAGGAGCGAAAGCGUGGGGAGCGAACAGGAUUAGAUACCCUGGUAGUCCACGCCGUAAACGAUGAGUGCUAAGUGUUAGGGGGUUUCCGCCCCUUAGUGCUGCAGCUAACGCAUUAAGCACUCC
rnacentral:rRNA from 1 species